rnacentral:ncRNA from 1 species
ACCAAGGAGUCUAGCACGUGCACGAGUCAGGGGCCGUCACAAAAGCCCGCGGCACAAUGAAGGUGAGAGCCGGCGCACGCCGGCUGAGGUGGGAUCCCAGGGCACAUGGUCACGAGAAGCCCUGGGUGCACCAUGGGCCCGUCUCGCCUGUUGCCGCCCCGGCAGCCGUGGAGGUGGAGCAUGAGCAUCCGUGCUGGGACCUGAAAGAUGUUGAACUAUGCCUGGGCAGGGUGAAGCCAGAUGAAACUCUGGUGGAGGUCCGUAGCGGUCCUGACGGGCAAAUCGGUCGUCCGACCCGGGUCUAGGGGCGAAACACUAAUCGAACCAUCUAGUAGCUGGUUCCCUCCGAAGUUUCCCUCAGCAUAGCUGACACUCAGCAAUGGGCAGUUUUACCCAAUCAAGCGGCCUCCUGAGCUGGGUAAUAGGGUCGGGGAGCAGUGUAAUGCCCCAGAAAUCCUUGAGGAAUUAGUUUGAGAGCUGCUGAGCCACUUGGACACCCACAAGUCCAUGGGACCAGAUGGAAUCCAUCCUAGGGUGCUGAGAGAGCUGGCAGAUGAGCUGGCCA